GCAGCUGCUGUGCGGAGCACCAGGUGUCACUGUUCCUCCAUGGUGAAGUGCCUGCCUGUGCAUUUUUUGGGCUGGGAGUGCGGAGUAGCUGGAGGUGGCAAAGGAAAUCCCAACCCUACUUGGCAUCUGAGAGGCAGAGGUGGAGGUACACGUGCCUGUAUCAGGAGAGAGCCUGGGCUGUCGUAAUGACAGACCGCUGAAAGAAAGCCAUGGAAUAACUCCAGGACGUCCAUUUAACAGUGGAGUGAUGCAAACACAGGUUGAUGAUAAAUGGCAUGUUUGAAGCUGGAAGGAGGAUGGGAGCCAGCAACCGGCGUGACUUGAGGCCUUCUCAGAGAGCCGAGGUCCUGUUUGCCGUUUUCUGCUGCUCAGGUUCUCUCAUGAACUGGAUUUUCAGGGGAUUAAUCAUGAUGAAGAUUGCUAAAUUGGUGACACAGGUUGGAUUGCAUAAAUAAAGUAUUGAAUCUGGAUU